rnacentral:rRNA from 1 species
AAGAGCUCAUCAUUGGAAUCUGGCAGCGUUGCGCUGUCCGAGUUGUAGAUGAGAAGAGUAGGACAUCUGGACUGCAUGGUGUCCAAGUACAAUAGGCCGUCAGUGGGACAUCAUAGAGGGUGACAAUCCCGUCCUUGACACCAAUGUACGAGUCCUUUACGAUGCCUAUCUCGGAGAGUCGAGCAGUUUGGGAUUUGCUGCUUAAACACGGGAGGUAGAUUCCUUCCAAAGCUAAAUACAGGCAAGAGACCGAUAGUGAACAAGUACCGCAAGGGAAAGAUGAAAUAGAACUCUGUGAAGGGAGUCAAAAAGACGUGAAAUUGUUGCGAGAGAAGCGAUUCAAGUCAGCGUAGCUGGGCCCAUCAAGCCUCGCGCUUUGGACCAGCUUUGCCAGCGGUCUUGUCCCCAGAGACUUGACUAAGGUGCCCUGCCCGGUCUAACGGACAGACCUCCCCGCUGGGGAGGCCAGUGGCAUGGCUGGUGGAA